rfam:Streptomyces sp. NRRL F-6602 F6602contig8.1, whole genome shotgun sequence.
GUGAGGGUGUGCUCCCAGGUGCCGCUCUCGCCCGUCAGCCGGUCGUCGCCGAGGAAGUCGCCGUCCGCCAGGACACCGUGGGUGGUCUCCUCGUCGUACCGGCCGCGCGCGGUCCUGCGCAGCUUGCCGUGGGCGAUGAGCACCAGCCGGUCGGCGGGCUGCCCCUCCCGCACGAUGACCUCGCCCGGUCCGAAAUCGCGCUGCUCGCACCGGGACGCGAGGGCCUCGAGCACCUCCCGGUCCUCGUAGCCGCGCAGGGCCGGCAGUUCGGAGAGUUCCAGUGGGAUGACGCGGACCUCGGAGCCGGUGGAGACGAAUUCCACCCUGCCGUCCCCCAGGGUGUGGCUGAGGCGCCGGUUGACCCGGAAAGUGCCGCCGGUCACCUGGACCCAGGGCAGCACCUUGAGCAGCCACCGGGAGGUGAUGCCCUGCAUCUGCGGAGGGGUUUUGGUGGUGGUCGCGAGAUUCCGGGCCGCCGCUGUCGCGAGGCUCUGCUGCGCCUGCGCCGG